AUGAGUAUACUACUGUACGCAGAUGACAUCGUAUUACUUGCGCCGAAUGAACCCUGUUUACAGAAAAUGCUUGAUAUUGUAACGGAAUGGUGUGAAGCCUGGAAAUUGUCGAUAAACGAUAGUAAGACGAAUAUAGUUCACUUCCGACCACCUUCAAUAGACAUUUCGCAAAGUACGUUUACAUAUGGUGGACAUACUUUACUUUUUACCGACUCAUACAAACACCUUGGUGUGUGGUUUGAUGAACACUUAACAUUCCAGAAAAAUGCAAAAGAACUAUCUAAAGCCGCCAGUCGUGCUCUUGGUGCAGUAUGUGGAAAAGUUAUACGAGCUGGAGGUAUGACCCAUUCUGUAUUUACUAAAUUAUACAACACAAUGGUAGAACCAGUUCUAUACGGAAGUGGUGUUUGGGGAUAUAAGGACUAUAGUUGCAUCUCAUCCGUCCAAACUCGAGCAUGUAAAUUCUUUCUGAAUGUUGGAAAACACAUUUCAAAUCUAUCUACAAGAGGUUACAUGGGUUGGACAUCAUGUAAAAUUAAACUGCAGAAAUCGUGUCUUCGGCUAUUGUGCAAACUUCGCAGACUUGAAAACAAUCGACUCCCAAGUAAAGUUUGGCGUUGGGCGGCACGAUGACGAAAAGGUUGGACAUUCGAGAUCAACAAACUUGUGACUAAACUUGAUGUAUGUGGUCUUAUAAGGGACACAUCUGUAUCCACAAAAUACGUUAUGAAAAUAAUUAAUGAAAAGCUAGAACAAUUGGACAAUCAUCACUGGUGUCAAGACAUUUUCAACGACCGUGGUACAUUAAACGGAAACAAACUCCGUACAUACAGACUAUACAAACAAACAGUAAACGUUGAGUCAUAUGUAAAAAUGAACAUUCCACUUAGUCAAAAGAGAUAUAUAUGGCUAUGUUUCGAGCCGGCUCGUUACCUCUGGCCUUGGAGACGGGCCGCUACUCCAGGUCGCAAGUUCCAAUUGAAGAUAGACUGUGUAUAUAUUGCGAUCUCGGACAUGUAGAGACCGAGAAACAUUUUCUGAUGGAGUGCCCUUUAUAUGCAGAUACGAUAUGAUUUAUUUUGUGAAUGUAAUUAUUUAAUUGAGAAUUUUGAAACAAUGCAUAUGGAUGAUAAGUUUAUAUUUAUAAUGAGAUCCGAGCAAAUUCAGAAAUGUCUAUGUAAAAUUUGCAGAAAUGUUUUAUGAGAAGGAAAUUAAUUUACAUUUGAUUGAAGAAGUACAUUUUUAUUUUGAUAGCCUAGUUUUUUGUCUAAGUUUUAAACAUUAAGCAUAUUUGUUUUUCUCAAAUCUUUAAAAUAAGGUAUUUUUAUUUAUUGAGAUUAAUAUUUUUAUUAUAUUUAUUUCUAUUUUAGAAGACAAUUGA
rnacentral:sRNA from 1 species